UGAGAUGAUUAAAGUAGUUAUGAUUUGAAUGGAGGUACGCCAGACACACGUUCCACUGGCUGCUGGAGAACGACGUGGGCUACGCCGUCCUCCUGAAGGAGCGUGAGAGGACAGGGUCUCAGUCCCCCCUCAUGGCUAACAAGGACGGCCUCCUGCACUACGCCUGCUCAUACCUCGACUUUGCAGAGGCGGUAAAAUUCCACCGGGCGUUUGAGGAGGGCGAAGGAAAAGUCCCGCCAACCUGGCCAGGAGGGCCAGGCCUUUGUUGGCUUUGGGGACUUUAAAUAUGAGACCCUGAGAGCCUCUACAGCUCUAAGGACCCUCAGAAGAUCCGGUUUGUCAACUAUCUGCGCCGGACGUCAGCCGUUCCCGGUUCCCAAAAGGAAAAGGUCAUGGAGUACGUCUGGCGCAGAGACAAGGAGAGGGUCUCCUA